rnacentral:lncRNA from 10 species
CCUAUCUCCUCAAGCUGGUUUAGACCCUUCUGGCUCAGCCUCACCAGAUUCCUAGGAUGAGCACUGGCUUCAAAUCCCCCAAGUGCUGGUCCCUUCGUGUCCCCGAAAGAGGCUGCUCGCGUGGGCAAAGGCCCCGAGGCGUCGAGUGCGCCUUCCAGGGCAGUGCGGAAGCUCCCUGCCCUCCUCCUUCCUCCCCACUUCUGCCUCCUCCUCCCCCAGUGUUCACUUGAAGCAAAUUCUAGUGGGCUUUUUUUUUUUCAAUACUGUUUCAAAACAGUUGUUACAGCAAAUAACUGCAGACGGGUCUGCUGGACGCGGUGGAGAGGGGCUGGCAGCUGCCCAGCACAGGCGCCUGGCCGCUGGGCAGCUCCCGCAAUACCAAAAUAAGCUCCCGAGUUCCCCUGGAAGACUUGGGCCGCCGGGAGCUCAGGCUGGCGAUCUGCUCAGAGGAAACCUCCCUACUUUCCUUUUUUACUCUUCCUGCUGUCCAGAGCUAACAAAUGUUUUUAAUUUCAGAGGAACAUGGUGUGGGGAUCUGCAGACUUGCCUUCCACUGGGGAGAGGGCCAGCGAGGGGACAGAGGGGGAGGAAAGGAGAGGGGAUAAUAGACCCGAGGUCAGUGUUGAUGCUGGAGGGCCCAGGUCUCUGAAGUUCCUGCAGCUUUGCAGAGGCGCAGGGGGACAAGUCCAGAGGCCAGGCCUGAGGCUGGGGCUGGCGGCAGGAGGGGUAGGCGGGGUAGAGGUGGGGUAGAGGUGGGGGAUCUAAGAUGGUUCACAGCACAGAGACCUCCCUCAACUGGAGGGCAGCAGCAGCUCACCCCCACCCCAGAAUCAGUGUUCCAGAGGACAGCUGGGGGCAGGGGGUUAGGAACAAUCCCACUCCCUCCUGGAAGAGGUCCUGACCCCCCACCCCACCCAUCUGCCUGUACGGGUCCCUCUGCUAUCGACUGGGGCGAGUUCUUUUCAUGAGGGCCUUGCCUGGUGCCUGGAGGGAACAGGGUGUGGGGGAAAGGUCUGUGUGUUCCCCCCUCACCUCCCCUGCUCAGCGGUGUGGCCUCUGGCUCUGGGGAGGAUCGGGAAGCCCCAGGGUCCGUGCCUUGGAGUGGGGGGACAGCCUUUUCUCUGCCACAGCUUCUGCCUUUGGAGGCUUACCCUUCCUAGGAGCAGAACUGUUGUGGAGGGGAAGAGGACGGCGAAGGUUCCGAAGGGAAGGGGGCUGCCCCCACUGAAAACGAAGCUUCCAGUCACAGCCCCUUCAUUAUUUAUCAGGACCCAGGGGAUGAGGUGGCAGGGGAGGGGG